UAUCAAUUGUAAAUCCCAAUAUAUGCUCGUUCGUUUUUCGGCUCUCGUUCAGCCAACAAUAAAAAUUCUAUUUUCGGAAAAAGUAUUAUGAAAGUUUGAGUUUAAAAAUAAAAAAGUGUGCAUUAAAUGACGCGAUUUAAAAUUGUGUUUGUGAAAAGGUUCACAUGUGUACAAAUUAUUUUUCUUUAAUCCUAAUUCCAAUGAUGGCCAAAAGUAUCCACCACACCACACGAAAUGUUACUAUAUUAUUGAACUGCCUAGUACUCGUAUGUGCAUAAAGGAUACACAAACUAUCCAUCGUUAAGCAUAUUUACAGACUUAAAUCAAACUGGACACACUGGAUUGAAAUCAAUAGAUGAUUCCUAAAGGAUGCGUACACUUUUACGUUAUUCCAGACACGCAAAAUCACUGGAUUACAACAAAUGGACGAUGAGUCAGCUCCAAUUCCUAAAGGAUCCUUGUUCAGCCAUAAGUUUUGGGAUUAGGGUAUCAAAAUAUCAAUAUACUGAACCACAAUAAUGAUUUUUAUCGAUACAAUUGAAAGAAAGCUAAACUUCUACACAAUGGUUUUUGUUAUAGUUUAUUCAAAAUAAUACCAUUCGCAAGGGACAUGCUGGAAUUAGCUAAAAUAAAUUCACACGCAACAAAUACUGAAUAAAAUAGAUGACUGAUUGUGAUUUUUAUGUACACUGAA